GACUAGGGAAGGCUGCUGCUUUCUGCUGGCCCACUGGAGAGAUCAGCACAAGCAGGAUGGCCAGAAGAAAAGCAAGGUGCUGAGUAAUGUGCCCUGGGUGUAAGCACAUAGUGUGCAGCUCAGCGAUAUGCUGGUGAAUAACUGCUCGCUAGUGGGAUGCAUUACCCUGCAGGAUAAAGAAAAGCAUCACCAACGGGAUGGCUGGAUGUGGUCUGGAUGCUCCCAUGGUUUGGGUGCAGUUGUACAGACAGUGCUUUUUCUGUGGUGGGAGCCCUGACAAAGCCAGCACCCUUCUCCAUCUGCUGCUGCAGCUCUCCUCGCAGUGACCACGACUACAGAAAGCACCUGCGCCAGCUAGCUGAAAAGAAGGGUGCCAGUUCUCUGCAUGCGAGCUUUUGCUAAUGCCAGGAGUAUGAGCAAAGUCAAAAGCAGUGCCUUCCUCUGGCUGUGACCAGCUCUUCCUGAGAACCUCUCAUAGGUCAUCAUCCCAUCCACAGCAUAUGCUGAGGAAGAAUAUGGCAACCACAGUUUGAAAGGAUCUUGCUUUUAAAGGGAAAAUAGCACAUCUCUGUAUUCUUCUCCAUUGUACUGGGAGAAGUGGGGAUUUCGGAGCAGGGCGUGAGGAGCGGUUUGACAUGCAGCAGUGAUGGAUGUCGAGAAGAGCUGACUGGUGUCCCUUGACGCCUUCUUUCUGCUUAGAGAGGAAUAAUGGCCACCCAGGACAGCUUCUCAGAGCCAAGCUUUACGCCCAGCAAAUCCCCUACUGAUGCAACUGCUGGGUUGCUGGGAACUUUCAGAACAGGACACAGGGCUGCCAAGAGGAUGGCACUGCAGGGCUGUUUGUUGGGAAGGUGGAGAUGCCAGGCACGGCUCCAGGUAACAGAGCAGCCCCGUGGCUUUAGAGCAGCACCUACUGCAAGAGAACUCCUGUGCAGUAUCUGUCACUGUGCUGUUGCUGCUGGGCCCCACGUGUGUGUGGCUUCUGUGACAGGAGCAGCAUCACAGAAUUACAUUACCAAUUCAUUUGCAAAUGCUGGUGGAGAUGUACUCAACAGUCCAAAUGAAAAAGAAAAAAAAGAAAGAAGGAGAGAUGGGUUUCAUCUUCCCACGUGCCUUGUGGCUGGUCCAUCCAGCCCAUUCUGCAUCUGUCAGAAUCAGUGCCCUGGGAGCAGUCAUCAUUUUUAUUAACCAUUAAACAAGAAGUUUCUUUUUAUUUGAAAAUGUAAACCAUGCAUAGAGUACUAUCAAUGGCCUCUAACCCAGCUCACAUUAACCUACGCCUCUGGGAGCUCCCCAAAACCUGACCACAAGCAGGGCUGGGUGCGCCCCGAGGACUUACACCUUGUCUAUGAGUGCCCGAUGUGAAGUCAUCCCCGGGUGCCUUACGGGGCCCUGAGCAAGCCUGAGGGUGGGAGGCUGCCGUGGGGCUGGCAUACAGAACAGACUCUCUGCAUGCUAUUUUUUAGAAUUUAUUUUUAUUGUGCUGCCUUAGUUGCUUCUGUGUGAUACUGCGGAAUAUUUUACUGCUUUGUGGCUCUCAUUCAGAAAGGAAAAAUUAAAAAAAGGAAAAGUU
rnacentral:lncRNA from 7 species